rnacentral:rRNA from 1 species
AACGCGAAGAACCUUACCUGGCCUUGACAUCCUCGGAACCUUGCAGAGAUGCGAGGGUGCCUUCGGGAACCGAGAGACAGGUGCUGCAUGGCUGUCGUCAGCUCGUGUCGUGAGAUGUUGGGUUAAGUCCCGCAACGAGCGCAACCCUUGUCCUUAGUUGCCAGCACUUCGGGUGGGCACUCUAAGGAGACCGCCGGUGACAAACCGGAGGAAGGUGGGGAUGACGUCAAGUCAUCAUGGCCUUUAUGGCCAGGGCUACACACGUGCUACAAUGGCCGGUACAAAGGGCAGCCAACCCGCGAGGGGGAGCUAAUCCCAUAAAGCCGGUCGUAGUCCGGAUCGGAGUCUGCAACUCGACUCCGUGAAGUCGGAAUCGCUAGUAAUCGCAGAUCAGCAUUGCUGCGGUGAAUACGUUCCCGGGUCUGUACACACCG